rnacentral:rRNA from 1 species
GAUGAACGCUGGCGGCGUGCUUAACACAUGCAAGUCGAACGAAGCACCUUAUUCUGAUUUCUUCGGAAUGAAAAAUUUGGUGACUGAGUGGCGGACGGGUGAGUAACGCGUGGGUAACCUGCCUCAUACAGGGGGAUAACAGUUAGAAAUGACUGCUAAUACCGCAUAAGACCACAGCACCGCAUGGUGCAGGGGCAAAAACUCCGGUGGUAUGAGAUGGACCCGCGUCUGAUUAGGCAGUUGGUGGGGUAACGGCCUACCAAGCCGACGAUCAGUAGCCGACCUGAGAGGGUGACCGGCCACAUUGGGACUGAGACACGGCCCAAACUCCUACGGGAGGCAGCAGUGGGGAAUAUUGCACAAUGGGGGAAACCCUGAUGCAGCGACGCCGCGUGAGCGAUGAAGUAUUUCGGUAUGUAAAGCUCUAUCAGCAGGGAAGAAA